UUUAAAUAGCAUUGAAGCAGAGUUUGUGUGGAAUGAUACAAGGAAAAUUAGCAUGGGCUCUGCACAAGGAUGACAUGCAAAUUCGUGAAGCGUUCCAUAUUUUA